rnacentral:rRNA from 1 species
AAGGUGAAAAGAACCCCCAUCGGGGAGUGAAAUAGAACAUGAAACCGUAAGCCUCCAAGCAGUGGGAGGAGAAUGGAAUCUCUGACCGCGUGCCUGUUGAAGAAUGAGCCGGCGACUUAUAGGUAGUGGCCUGGUUAAGGUUUUCCGGAGCCAUAGCGAAAGCGAGUCUUUCUAGGGCGAAUGUCACUACUUAUGGACCCGAACCCGGGUGAUCUAACCAUGGCCAGGGUGAAGCUUGGGUGAAGCCAAGUGGAGGUCCGAACCGACUGAUGUUGAAAAAUCAGCGGAUGAGCUGUGGUUAGGGGUGAAAUGCCACUCGAACUCGGAGCUAGCUGGUUCUCCCCGAAAUGCGUUGAGGCGCAGCGGUUGACUGGACUGCCUAGGGGUAAAGCACUGUUUCGGUGCGGGCUGCGAAAGCGGUACCAAAUCGAGGCAAACUCUGAAUACUAGGCAUGAACGAGGUCAGCCAGUAAGACGGUGGGGGAUAAGCUUCAUCGUCAAGAGGGAAACAGCCCAGACCACCAGCUAAGGCCCCUAAAUGACCGCUCAGUGGCAAAGGAGGUGAGAGUGCAAAGACAGCCAGGAGGUUUGCCUAGAAGCAGCCACCCUUGAAAGAGUGCGUAAUAGCUCACUGAUCGAGCGCUCUUGCGCCGAAGAUGAACGGGACUAAGCGGUCUGCCGAAGCUGUGGGAUGCCCAAGGAGGGCAUCGGUAGGGGAGCGUUCCGCAAACGGGAGAAGCAUCAGUGCAAACAGGUGUGGACGAAGCGGAAGUGAGAAUGUCGGCUUGAGUAACGCAAACAUUGGUGAGAAUCCAAUGCCCCGAAAACCCAAGGGUUCCUCCGCAAGGCUCGUCCACGGAGGGUGAGUCAGGGCCUAAGAUCAUGCCGAACGGCGCAGUCGAUGGACAACAGGUCAAGAUUCCUGUACUACCCCUUGUCGGCAAUAAGAGGGACGGAGGAGGCUAAGCUAGCCGAACAAUGGUCAUCGGUUCAAGGGUCAAAAGCCUGAGUACUAGGCACCUACGGGGCCGAAGUAGCUGAUGCCAAGCUCCCAAGAAAAGCUCUUACGCCAAUACUCCCCGAUAAUUCUAGUGGGACCGGAUCAACACGCGCCGCAAANGCUUCGCCGGAGGUCCAGAGGGACCCCACUAUAAUUAUUGUGGAGGCCCCAUUAUAAUUAAUAAUUCUCGUGGGCAAAAAGAAGACAAGUGGGUACCUGUACCCGAAACCGACACAGGUGGGUAGGUAGAGAAUACCUAGGGGCGCGAGACAACUCUCUCUAAGGAACUCGGCAAGAUGGCCCCGUAACUUCGGGAGAAGGGGUGCCCCUCUGGGCCGCAGUGACCAGGCCCAGGCGACUGUUUACCAAAAACACAGGUCUCCGCAAAGUCGAAAGACGACGUAUGGGGGCUGACGCCUGCCCAGUGCCGGAAGGUUAAGGAAGUCGGUGACUCGAGUACGGGGAAGCUGGCGACCGAAGCCCCGGUGAACGGCGGCCGUAACUAUAACGGUCCUAAGGUUGGAAAAAAAGCUAGCCUUAGUAAAACCAAACUAUAUGCUGGAAACUCCUCAAAAACUUUGUGACUACUCGUGGUAGAUUUUUGAGAUAUCGGCAUCCUCUCCCCAUCCGGGGUCCCCCAUAAUAGAAAGGGGAGGAAGGCCAAACCCACUGAUUCCGCUGCCCCUAUAAUUAUUGUGGGGCCCCCCAUAAUAGAAAGGUGGUCACAAAAAUUAUAAAUUAUAAUGGGCCCCUAAAAUUCUAAUGGGCGGAUUCACUUUCUUUCUCAAAAAGCAAAAGCUAUCGCAGUCAAAAGGUCCAAGACAGGGGGACAAUCAGCAGGAAAGACUCAGGAUCCCAAGCAAAAGUGCCGGAAGUCCCGGAGGAGUUUUGGAUACUGAGAAUCCUCAGAGACUAUACGUUUGGAGAUUUUCAAUGAACUUAGAAACACAAUGGAUUGUUGGCUUUGUGGAUGGAGAAGGAUGCUUUCACGUGGCGAUCAAUAAGAAUAACACUACCGCUCUCGGUUUCCAAGUCCAACCUGAAUUUACGGUGGUUCAGCAUGAAAGAGAUAUUCAGAUUCUCUACGCUCUCAAAGAUUAUUUUGGAUGCGGAGUAGUGCGGAGAAAUAAUGGAGAUCGAUUUUGUUAUCGGGCUCGUAGGCUGUCGCACCUUCGUGAAAAGAUUAUUCCGUUCUUUGAGCAACAUAAGUUGAAAACAAAGAAACGGGUUGAUUUUGAAAAAUUCCGCGAUGUCGUUCUUUUGAUCGAAGAAAAGAAGCAUCUUACCGUGGAAGGUCUUCAAAACAUUCGCGAGAUUCAAGCAGGGAUGAAUCGCAAGUCCAUGAAAAAGCGUUCGUAGAUUGUGAAGGUCUCCCGAGUUCCUCCCGCAGGCCCAUUUUCUUGGGGGAGAUACAAAGGUCGUUCUAAAGAAAAUCUAAGAUAGAGUCCAGCUUUUUGUGAAAGCAAAGAGAUCAACUGAGCGAAAUUCCUUGUCGGGUAAGUUCCGACCCGCACGAAANGCGUAACGAUCUGGGCACUGUCUCGGAGAGAGGCUCGGUGAAAUAGACUUGUCUGUGAAGAUGCGGACUACCUGCACCUGGACAGAAAGACCCUAUGAAGCUUUACUGUUCCCUGGGAUGGGGUUUGGGCCUUUCUUGCGCAGUCUAGGUGGGAGGCGAAGACGGCGUCCUUCCGGGGACGCUCGAGCCGAAGAUGAGAGACCACCCUAGAAAGGCUAGGAUUCUAACCUUAUGCCUAGAAGAAGGCUAGGGGACAGUCCCAGGUAGACAGUUUCUAUGGGGCGUAGGCCUCCCAAAGGGUAACGGAGGCGUGCAAAGGUUUCCUCAGGCUGGACGGAAAUCAGCCUUCGAGUGCAAAGGCAGAAGGGAGCUUGACUGCAAGACCCACCCGUCGAGCAGGGACGAAAGUCGGCCUUAGUGAUCCGACGGUUCCGAGUGGAAGGGCCGUCGCUCAACGGAUAAAAGUUACUCUAGGGAUAACAGGCUGAUCUUCCCCAAGAGUUCACA